AAAUGAAUAGACGGGCACCCGCACAAGCGGUGGAGCAUGCUGUUUAAUUCGAAGAUACGCGAAGAACCUUACCUGGGCUUGACAUCCCAGUGAAACUCUUUGGAAACAUAGAGCCUCUCCUUCGGGAGACACUGGUGACAGGUGGUGCAUGGUUGUCGUCAGCUCGUGUCGUGAGAUGUUUGGUUAAGUCCAAUAACGAGCGCAACCCUUAUCCUUAAUUGCUAACAUUAAGUUGAGAACCUUAAGGAGACUGCCGGUGAUAAGCCGGAGGAAGAUGGGGAUGAGGUCAAAUCAUCAUGCCCCUUACGUCCAGGGCUACAGGCGUGCUACAAUGGCUGGUAUAAUAAGACGCGAUACCGUGAGGUGGAGCAAAUCUCUAAAGCCAGUCCCAGUCCGGAUUGGAGUCUGCAACUCGACUCCAUGAAGUUGGAAUCGCUAGUAAUCCCGAAUCAGAAUGUCGGGGUGAAUACGUUCCCGGGUGUUGUACACACCGCCCGU
rnacentral:rRNA from 1 species